rnacentral:rRNA from 1 species
UGGGGAAUCUUGGACAAUGGGGGCAACCCUGAUCCAGCGACGCCGCGUGGGUGGUAAGCCCUUCGAACAGGUGGGCUGCCUGACGGUACCUCCAAAGGAAGGUCCGGCUAACUCCGUGCCAGCAGCCGCGGUAAUACGGAGGGACCAAGCGUUGUUCGGAAUCAUUGGGCGUAAAGCGCGUGUAGGCGGCUUGGCAAGUCGGGUGUGAAAUCCCGGGGCCCAACCCCGGAACUGCACUCGAAACUGCCUCGCUAGAGUCCCGGAGAGGAAGGCGGAAUUCCCGGUGUAGAGGUGAAAUUCGUAGAUAUCGGGAGGAACACCAGUGGCGAAGGCGGCCUUCUGGACGGUGACUGACGCUGAGACGCGAAAGCGUGGGGAGCAAACAGGAUUAGAUACCCCGGUAGUCC